rnacentral:rRNA from 1 species
UGCGUAGGUGGUUUGGUAAGUUAUCUGUGAAAUCCCUGGGCUCAACCUGGGCAGGUCAGAUAAAACUGCUGGACUCGAGUAUGGGAGAGGGUAGUGGAAUUUCCGGUGUAGCGGUGAAAUGCGUAGAGAUCGGAAGGAACACCAGUGGCGAAGGCGGCUACCUGGCCUAAUACUGACACUGAGGCACGAAAGCGUGGGAGCAAACA